CCACUAGGGGACUCCGGAGAGGAAAGGUUGGGGCAAGGCAGGGAUACCACACCACGGGGUAGGAAACACAGGAGCCGCACAACAGUGGAACGAGCACGGUAGCUCGAGCCCACACAUGGAGAGGAUCCGGUGCGCCCGUUCGUUGCGCGAGGCAAGGAGCCAGACAGCACUCAAGACCCACACACCACUCAUCCGCCAACAUGGUCCGCAAACCCAGCACUCCCAGAUGAACCGCGCCCCGCACGCCAAGACGCGUGCAGGCAAGCGGAAGCAUACGGGAGGGCCGAGCCAACGCCGCUGGGCAGGGUUCGGGGGAAGCGACGAAGAACAUUCAAGGGACAGACAGAUGCGUGAGGUGCUUCGGGCGAUAGCCGAACAGCCGCACCGUCUUAAGCAACACGCCCAACCCACACCGCAUCGGGCACCGUCGUACGUCGACCCUAGACGUAUGGCGAGCAC